UACGUAGGUGGCAAGCGUUGUCCGGAAUUAUUGGGCGUAAAGCGCGCGCAGGCGGUCCUUUGAGUCUGAUGUGAAAGCCCACGGCUCAACCGUGGAGGGUCAUUGGAAACUGGGGGACUUGAGUGCAGAAGAGGAGAGUGGAAUUCCACGUGUAGCGGUGAAAUGCGUAGAGAUGUGGAGGAACACCAGUGGCGAAGGCGACUCUCUGGUCUGUAACUGACGCUGAGGCGCGAAAGCGUGGGGAGCAAACAGG
rnacentral:rRNA from 1 species